rnacentral:rRNA from 1 species
UACGAGGGGGGGCAAGCGUUGUCCGGAAUUAUUGGGCGUAAAGAGCUCGUAGGCGGUCUGUCGCGUCUGCUGUGAAAACCUAGGGCUUAACUCUGGGCGUGCAGUGGGUACGGGCAGGCUAGAGUGCGGUAGGGGAGACUGGAAUUCCUGGUGUAGCGGUGAAAUGCGCAGAUAUCAGGAGGAACACCGGUGGCGAAGGCGGGUCUCUGGGCAAUAACUGACGCUGAGGAGCGAAAGCGUGGGGAGCGAACAGG